rnacentral:rRNA from 1 species
GAUGAACGCUGGCGGCGUGCUUAACACACGCAAGUCGAACGGUGAAGCAGGAGCUUGCUCUUGUGGAUCAGUGGCGAACGGGUGAGUAACACGUGAGCAACCUGCCCCUGACUCUGGGAUAAGCGCCGGAAACGGCGUCUAAUACUGGAUAUGUGAUGUGACCGCAUGGUCUGCAUCUGGAAAGAAUUUCGGUUGGGGAUGGGCUCGCGGCCUAUUAGCUUGUUGGUUAGGUAAUGGCUCACCAAGGCGUCGACGGGUAGCCGGCCUGAGAGGGUAACCGGCCACACUGGGACUGGGGCACGGCGCAGACGCCUUAGGGAGGCAGCAGUGGGGAAUAUUGCACAAUGUGCGGAAGCCUGAUGCAGCAACGCCGCGUGGGGGAUGACGGCCUUCGGGUUGUAAACCUCUUUUAGCAGGGAAGAAGCGAAAGUGACGGUACCUGCAGAAAAAGCACCGGCUAACUACGUGCCAGCCGCCGCAGUAA